rnacentral:rRNA from 1 species
GUCGAACGCUGGCGGCGGGCUUAACACAUGCAAGUCGAACGGAAAAGGAGGGCUUUCAUCCUACUCCAGUGGCGGACGGGUGAGUAAUACCUAGGUGAUAACCUACUCAUAUGGGUGGAAGUCCUGCGAAAAGCGGCUAUUACUCCCGAGUAAUAUAUUGAACCGUGGGGGUUGAUAGGUACUUUCGGUUUAGGAUGAACUUAGAGCUGAUUACCGGGUUCGUGAGGUAACGGCCUACCAAGGCGCCGACCCGUACCCGAACUGAGAGGGUGACCGGCCACCCUGGAACUGAGACACGGUCCAGACUCCUACGGGAGGCAGCAGUAGGGAAUCUUGGGCAAUGGGCGAAAGCUUGACCGAGCAACGCCGCGUGGGUGAAGAAGGUCUUCGGAUCGUAAAACUCUGUUAUUGGGGAAGAACACAUGUGUAAGUAACUAUGCAUGUCUUGACGGUACCUAAACAAGAAGCACCGGCUAACUACGUG